rnacentral:rRNA from 1 species
GCUUAGCCCUAAACAUAGAUAAUAACCUACUUAUUUUAUCCGCCAGGGUACUACGAGCGUUAGCUUAAAACCCAAAGGACUUGGCGGUGCUUUAGAUCCACCUAGAGGAGCCUGUUCUAGAACCGAUAAUCCCCGUUAAACCUCACCUUUCCUUGUCUUAUUCCGCCUAUAUACCGCCGUCGUCAGCUUGCUCUGUGAGGAACUUGUAGCGUGCAUAAUUGGCAUAGCCCAAAACGCCAGGUCGAGGUGUAGCGUAUGGAGAGGGAAGAAAUGGGCUACAUUCAGUAACUGUACUUAAUACGGAUGACAUUCUGAAAAUAAUAUCUGAAGGAGGAUUUAGUAGUAAGCAGAGAAUAGAGUGCCCUGCUGAAAUAGGCCCUGAAGCGCGU